AGCUGGUGAGACAAAGCUCAGAAGUUGGAGAACUCAAAGCAUUUGGCUUCUGCCACUUGCAGAGAGAUGCUUGUGUGACCGCGCCUGCGCAUGAGACAGUGCAGAUUUAAAAGCAAGUGAUGGAGAGGGAGCUAUUUAAAGGUAAUAGGGAUAAUACAAUAUUUCCUCUCGCUAUGUUGAAUUAUUUAGGGAAUUGGAUUACACACCUUCAGCGUCGUUGCCAUGAAGCAUAGGAUGUUUCAUUUACCAAGAGCAAGCCCUGAAGUCCUCGUAGAAUGCAUCACAGAGGGACCCAGAAAAGAACUGGCACCACUCUGUAAACUUCUCCAGGUCUUAAAGAAGCCCAGACUUGGGCAGGAAGGAGUUUCUGUCUCCAGGGGUUAAACUGGGUAAUGUGACUCAAAGAACAUUCAUGGAGGACUUAGCAGUCCUUGAGUGCUAGAAAUGGCAAAAUUGUAUUCUUGAAUAGAGGUAGAUUUUUUCCAGCAAGAUGGUCCACUGCUUUCAUCAUAGGAUCUCCCCUAACCACCACUGUUGGUGUCUUCAGGACAAAGGAAAGUACCACGUGCUCUUCUCCCUUUGGCCCCUCAGUGAUGACUUUGUGUGCUUUUUCUUGGCUGUGGUCUUUGGAGAUUCUUCAGAAGUUCCCAUUUAGUUCCUCCUCCUGAGGUUAGGAGGCUCCGAAUGACUUGGGGACCUGGUCAUAUCAACACCCAUUUUUCUUCUUGACAGACUCAAUUUUCCCAUGGGCAGGGGAGGGCAGCCUUUGAGAAGCCUCAAAAAUGCCCUAAUCUGGUAAUGGGAUUUUUACCUUGCAGCAGUUUUUACUUCUGAGAUGAGGACCUUGUCUGCUUUUCCUCCAGGGAGACCCAUAGACCCCAGGCUCCUCAUCCUCCAACUUGAGGCUCAUCCCUCCUCUACCCACAUGCUGCCUCAUGGCCAUCCACAACACCCAGUCCCUUCUGGGGUAUCUUGUAACAGGCAGUGAUUUACAAACUUUUUUUUAAGUAGUGGAAUUAUUCUUUCCAAAUAAACUAUUGAGACAAAAUCCAAUCUAUAAAACAGCUUGAAGCAAAACAGAACCUGGGUGGGAAUUGGUCAUAUCUUUACUGACAGCUUCCCUGCCAGGGACGGACUCUACAGCACUCCCAAAAGCCCAGGAACACCACUGAGAAAUACUUGAUAGAAGGAAAUAGGUAGUUUCUACUGCAGCGCAACAGGUCAAGAAUCCUGCCUGGUAUCUG
ensembl:lncRNA